AUUGAACGCUGGCGGCAGGCCUAACACAUGCAAGUCGAGCGGAUGAAGGGAGCUUGCUCCUGGAUUCAGCGGCGGACGGGUGAGUAAUGCCUAGGAAUCUGCCUGGUAGUGGGGGAUAACGUCCGGAAACGGGCGCUAAUACCGCAUACGUCCUGAGGGAGAAAGUGGGGGAUCUUCGGACCUCACGCUAUCAGAUGAGCCUAGGUCGGAUUAGCUAGUUGGUGGGGUAAAGGCCUACCAAGGCGACGAUCCGUAACUGGUCUGAGAGGAUGAUCAGUCACACUGGAACUGAGACAAGGUCCAGACUCCUACGGGAGGCAGCAGUGGGGAAUAUUGGACGAUGGGCGAAAGCCUGAUCCAGCCAUGCCGCGUGUGUGAAGAAGGUCUUCGGAUUGUAAAGCACUUUAAGUUGGGAGGAAGGGCAGUAAGUUAAUACCUUGCUGUUUUGACGUUACCAACAGAAUAAGCACAGGCUAACUUCGUG
rnacentral:rRNA from 1 species